rnacentral:tRNA from 1 species
UGCCUGAUAAAAGGAUAAUUUUGAUAGAAUUAAUUAUAUGGCCCACCACCGUCUUCA